GACAGAGGGUGCGAACGUUGUUCGGAAUUACUGGGCGUAAAGCGCGUGUAGGCGGCAGCGCAAGUCGGGCGUGAAAUCCCACGGCUCAACCGUGGAAGUGCACUCGAAACUGCGCAGCUAGAGUCCUGGAGAGGAAGGUGGAAUGCUUGGUGUAGAGGUGAAAUGCGUAGAUAUCGGGAGGAACACCAGUGGCGAAGGCGGCGACCUGGGCCAAUAUUGACGCUGAGGUGCGAAAGCGUGGGGAGCAAACAGG
rnacentral:rRNA from 1 species